UGUAGUCAUAUGCUUGUCUCAAAGAUUAAGCCAUGCAUGUCUAAGUAUAAACAAUUUUAUACAGUGAAACUGCGAAUGGCUCAUUAUAUCAGUUAUAGUCUACUCGAUAGUACCUUACUACUUGGAUAACCGUAGUAAUUCUAGAGCUAAUACAUGCAUCAAUACCCAACUGCUUGUCGGGCGGGUAGCAUUUAUUAGAUUGAAACCAAUGCAGUCUUCGGGCUGGUUUUGUGUUGAAUCAUAAUAACUGUGCGGAUCGCAUUCAUUGCGAUAAAUCGAUUGAGUUUCUGCCCUAUCAGCUUUGGAUGGUAGGAUAUGGGCCUACCAUGGCAUUAACGGGUAACGGGGA
rnacentral:rRNA from 1 species